AUAUAGAGGCUGGCGACCGGCAAACGGGUGCGGAACACGUACACAACCUUCCUUGAAUAGGGGGAUAGCCCAUAGAAAUGUGGAUUAAUACCCCGUAAUAUAGCGGUGUGGCAUCACACUGUUAUUACAGUUUCGACGAUUCGAGAUGGGUGUGCGGCUGAUUAGGUAGUUGGCGGGGUAAAGGCCCACCAAGCCUUCGAUCAGUAGCUGAUGUGAGAGCAUGAUCAGCCACACGGGCACUGAGACACGGGCCCGACUCCUACGGGAGGCAGCAGUAAGGAAUAUUGGUCAAUGGACGCAAGUCUGAACCAGCCAUGCCGCGUGAAGGAUGAAGGUCCUCUGGAUUGUAAACUUCUUUUAUAGGGGGCGAAAAAAGGUCUUUCUAGAUCACUUGACAGUACCCUAUGAAUAAGCACCGGCUAACUCCGUGCCAGCAGCCGCGGUAAUACGGAGGGUGCAAGCGUUAUCCGGAUUCACUGGGUUUAAAGGGUGCGUAGGCGGGUAGGUAAGUCAGAGGUGAAAUCCUGGAGCUUAACUCCAGAACUGCCUUUGAUACUAUCUAUCUUGAAUAUGGUGGAGGUAAGCGGAAUAUGUCAUGUAGCGGUGAAAUGCAUAGAUAUGACAUAGAACACCUAUUGCGAAGGCAGCUUACUACGCCUAUAUUGACGCUGAGGCACGAAAGCGUGGGGAUCAAACAGGAUUAGAUACCCUGGUAGUCCACGCCCUAAACGAUGAUUACUCGACGUAUGCGAUACACAGUAUGCGUCUGAGCGAAAGCAUUAAGUAAUCCACCUGGGAAGUACGACCGCAAGGUUGAAACUCAAAGGAGUUGGCGGGGGUCCGCACAAGCGGUGGAGCAUGUGGUUUAAU
rnacentral:rRNA from 1 species